rnacentral:rRNA from 1 species
CAGAAUCCCGUGAACCAUCGAGUCUUUGAACGCAAGUUGCGCCCGAAGCCAUCCGGCCGAGGGCACGUCUGCCUGGGCAU